CACGGCCCAGACUCCUACGGGAGGCAGCAGUAGGGAAUCUUCCGCAAUGGACGAAAGUCUGACGGAGCAACGCCGCGUGAGUGAUGAAGGUUUUCGGAUCGUAAAGCUCUGUUGUUAGGGAAGAACAAGUACCGUUCGAANNNGGCGGUACCUUGACGGUACCUAACCAGAAAGCCACGGCUAACUACGUGCCAGCAGCCGCGGUAAUACGUAGGUGGCAAGCGUUGUCCGGAAUUAUUGGGCGUAAAGGGCUCGCAGGCGGUUUCUUAAGUCUGAUGUGAAAGCCCCCGGCUCAACCGGGGAGGGUCAUUGGAAACUGGGGAACUUGAGUGCAGAAGAGGAGAGUGGAAUUCCACGUGUAGCGGUGAAAUGCGUAGAGAUGUGGAGGAACACCAGUGGCGAAGGCGACUCUCUGGUCUGUAACUGACGCUGAGGAGCGAAAGCGUGGGGAGCGAACAGGAUUAGAUACCCUGGUAGUCCACGCCGUAAACGAUGAGUGCUAAGUGUUAGGGGGUUUCCGCCCCUUAGUGCUGCAGCUAACGCAUUAAGCACUCCGCCUGGGGAGUACGGUCGCAAGACUGAAACUCAAAGGAAUUGACGGGGGCCCGCACAAGCGGUGGAGCAUGUGGUUUAAUUCGAAGCAACGCGAAGAACCUUACCAGGUCUUGACAUCCUCUGACAAUCCUAGAGAUAGGACGUCCCCUUCGGGGGCAGAGUGACAGGUGGUGCAUGGUUGUCGUCAGCUCGUGUCGUGAGAUGUUGGGUUAAGUCCCGCAACGAGCGCAACCCUUGAUCUUAGUUGCCAGCAUUCAGUUGGGCACUCUAAGGUGACUGCCGGUGACAAACCGGAGGAAGGUGGGGAUGACGUCAAAUCAUCAUGCCCCUUAUGACCUG
rnacentral:rRNA from 1 species